UUUUUUUCCAAGGUCGGAGGAGUCCAAACCAGCGGGCAUAGAUUUAAAGAUGAAUGUGUCCCAGGCUAGACAAGCAUCUAUUACCCAUCCCUGAUUGCCCAGAGGGCAGUUAGCAGUCAACCACAUUGCUGUGAGUCUGGAGUCACUUGUAGGCCAGACCAGAUGUCUCUUGUUGAUAUAAACAAUGGAGAACCAGUGGAUAUGGUAUAGUUGGAUAUCAGGAGGAUUUUUAAAGAAUUCAUACGGAGAAGGAGGAGGCAUAGUUCAAGAAGAUCGACUGGGAAACUCG